GGAUUUUUGUUUUAUUAAAUUCAAAGUACACCCAAUACAAGUCUAGCUAAUGACUUCUGCUCUGAUGUUCACCCUUGUUUGCCUUCCCUGCAAAGCAGAACCUCUGGCUACUGUUUCACUUUUAAACCUUAGAAAGAAGUUGCAUUGGGAGAAAAAGCAAAACAAAGCAGAAUACUAGGAUAAAGAACAAAACAAUAAGUAUCUUAAUAGCCACCAGCUGGCUUGCACUUACUUGUUUCUACUCCUCACCCCAACAAGGUUUUUCAUUGCCUUGAUAUUUAUCCUGUACCACAGCCACCUACUGCAAGUAUCAGUAGUCAUGAUAUUAACUUUCCCUUUGAAAUGUGUGCUAAGGCCUAUCUUAAUGGCAGAAAUAGAAAAAGCAACAUGCAAUAAACAUUUUCAAAUUGAAGAAAACAAAAAGGUUUAAAAAUAUCAUACUUUGAGAUAAGCGUGAGUUACAUAUUCAACGGAGUGUUACAUGCUUAUUAAUAUUUUUAUCAUAAAUCUUAUUUAUCACUAAAGUUGAUUUGUCACUCAAGCAGUUUGUGUACAUGAUAGGCAUUCAUAGUAUAAGCUGUAAGAAAGAUGACUGCUAUGUUCUUUUAAGGCAGUCCCAGGGAUUGUCAGUCUUUGUGUAAAUUCAUAGAAGGAAUGUUAUUUACCACUUAUUCCAGUGACUUCUGAUAAAAAAAAAUUUAAAUUAUAAUUCUUACAGACAUAUAACCUCAGUUUGUAGAGUGAGUAAAGCAAAUUGCCCUCUAUAAUGUAGGGGAACCUCAUCUUAUCAGUUGAAGAUCAGAAUAGAACAAAAAGGCUGAGCAAGAGGGGACUCCCUCUGACUGCCUGACUGAGCUGGCACUUUAAUCUUUUGCAGCCUUCAGACUUGGACUGAAACACUGGCACUUUUUGAAUCUGAAGUUGGCCAGCUUUCAGCUAGAACUCACACCAAUAGCUCUCCUGAUUUUCAGGCCUUUGGACUUGUAUUAAAACUACAUGUCAGUUCUCCUUGGUUUUGGACUAGAACUCCACAGCAGCACUCCCGUGAACUGCAGAUCUUGGGAUUUCUCAGCCUCCUUAUUCAUAAGAAGAGUUUCCUCAAGAGAAAUUGCAGAAUCUUGUUCUCUCUCCUGCCACCAUGUGAAGAAGUUUUCUGUUUCCGCUUCACCUUCUGCCAUCAUUGUAAGUGUCCUGAGGCCUCCGCAGUCACAUGGAACUGUGAGUCAAUUAAACUUCUCUUC
rnacentral:lncRNA from 13 species